UUUUUUGGUAGCUGUGCGGGGGAGAUCCUAGGAUCUGCCGGUUUCACCAUGUCCGGUUCGCCAACCCGCGUACAGCUGCCACCCAU
rnacentral:antisense_RNA from 1 species